rnacentral:tRNA from 1 species
AUUGUUUUUUAUAAUACUACCGUACUUUGUCGCAAUCCAUGUUACACAUAAACAAGAGAUUUGUAAUCUCGGGGUCGCGGGUUCGAAUCCUGCUGCCGGCACCA